CAGAGCGCUCCCUUCGUCCACGACGCAGCCGCCAGGCUGCCUCCGGCCGCCCGCCGCUUGGCCACCUCUGUCCAUCGCCGCCAAGCACGCCCCAAGGCCCAGGCUGCCUCCGUCCGCCUCGCCUGCGCUGCCACCCGCACUGCCGCCUACGACGAGCGGCGGGCGGCGAGCACGCCCGCGCAGAAGACGAGGACGCCGACCACCGCGAGCCGCCAGCAGGAGCUGCUGCGCGCCAUCCUCUUGCACCCAACCAAUCCCCAACACAGGAAGCGCUAGACUCACCACGCCCUCCUGUCCGCGCGCGAACCCGGUGCUGCACGCCGCCGCCAUCGCCAGAGCCGGCACUAAACGUGCGCGCCGCGAGAUGGGCCGGGGAGCGCACCUGCGCUGCCGCCUCCUCCAGACCACUGGCGCAUGCGAUCUCGGUGGACGACUUGGUGGCAGCGUCCGUGUUCAAGGACAAGCUCCCGCGAUUCAAUUCCACCGUACCGGACUUCGCCGGCGAAGAGAUGAACCAGAGAUGCCUGGGAGAGUAAUUGAUAAGGGAAGGGCAAUAUUGUCCAUUCACCUGGGUAGAAAAGGAAAAAGAAAAGAAAAGGAUGGAAACCUGAAGAGAAGGGAGGAGAAGGGAGGAGAAACCUCUAAAUCGAAACAAUUCGCGCAUCGGAAUGUUAAAUAUUGAAAGUCCCAUGGUCCUGCUCCUUUAUUUUGUAGUCGCCGGCAAAGGCCCUUGCACCGCCGUGGCUGUGCAUGAGGACCGUGCCUCCCUUUUUCUCUGCGAGCCCUCGGCAGCGGAGCAGCCCAGUGGUACAACACGAUGAUGAGGACAUCAACACCAACGAUAUAUCCACACCAACAUCGUCACCGCUUGGUCCUAUUACUCGUGCUCGUGCCCGUCAACUCCAUCAUCAGGUAAGUUCAUUCUUAAGCUCUUGUCCAUUAUAUUUAGACGAUGGAAACACGCACGCUUUUGUUUUGCUUAGGUAUGAUGGGGAGGAUAAGAAGGGGAGGGGAUUCGCGUGGAUUGGAUUCGGACAACAGGACAGCACCAACUCGUGACAGCGGCCCCGACCUCAUCCGGACUCCGAUUGGAGAGUUAAAGGACAUCACGGAAAGCUUAUGAAGUCUAUUUUCAAACGAAUCUGACCACUCGAUGACAUCUGUUCGGAAUUGGGCGCAAUCCUCAUUUUCCGUACAGACUGCCGCUCUAUCCAUGGUGCUGCGUCACCAAUUAGG